rnacentral:lncRNA from 1 species
ACGGCACUGCAGUGACAUUUGUCCCCACACCCGGGGAAGUGGCCAGCGGAGCCUUAUGUUUUCUUGAAAGUUCAAAGUCUCAGGUGUCACAAGUCCCCUCAGCCAAAGAUUCCUCAGGUGGAGCCUUGCUUCCCAGAAGCCUCCAAAACAAACAGCAGCUCAUGGGCCUCUCCUCCCUGCUUCCCUGGGUUAGUUUUCCUCUGGAAAAUCAGAUGGGGUCUCACCAUGUUGCCCAAGCUGGUCUUGAACUCCUGGCACAAGCGAUCCUCCUGCCUCAGCCUCUGGAGCAGCAGGGACUACAGGCGCACACCACCACACCUGGCCAUAUACAUCACAUGUUGUUUAUACAUUCGUCUAUCGAUGGACAUGGGCAUCACCUCCACCUUUUUAGGCUGGUCACUGCAGCCUAAAUUCUGUCUAAUUCUGUUUUUAAUUUUAAUUCUGCUCCUCUGAGAUGAGCCAGCUUGUGCAUGAAGCAAGGCUUGAAGGAGAACACGGCUGCAUGGAUCGCUGGGCCACUGGACUGAGGUGCUUUGAAGGUGGCAAUCCACGAACCUUUGGAUUUGUGGAUCUGUGGAUCUGUGAAGCAAUGAGUUUCUUCAUUGUUGAAUUGAGGUUUAGGUCUCUUACAGCUAUGAGCCGCCUAGAUGAUGCAUCUUCCGAGAAGUUGCCCAGUUUCAAAAAUUACAGAAGAAAACAAAAAUGAACAGAACCACAGAGAAGUGGGAAUUAUUUUGCUGAUGUGAAUGCUGGAAAAAAAAUUAAAGUAUGUUUUGUAGCAAUUUUAAAGCAA